UACGGGAGGCAGCAGUAGGGAUUUUCCGCAAUGGGCGAAAGCCUGACGGAGCAACGCCGCGUGAGUGAUGAAGGUCUUAGGAUCGUAAAACUCUGUUGUUAGGGAAGAACAAAUUUGUUAGUAACUGAACAAGUCUUGACGGUACCUAACCAGAAAGCCACGGCUAACUACGUGCCAGCAGCCGCGGUAAUACGUAGGUGGCAAGCGUUAUCCGGAAUUAUUGGGCGUAAAGCGCGCGUAGGCGGUUUCUUAAGUCUGAUGUGAAAGUCCACGGCUCAACCGUGGAAGGUCAUUGGAAACUGGGGAACUUGAGUGCAGAAGAGGAGAGUGGAAUUCCAUGUGUAGCGGUGAAAUGCGCAGAGAUAUGGAGGAACACCAGUGGCGAAGGCGGCUCUCUGGUCUGUAACUGACGCUGAUGUGCGAAAGCGUGGGGAUCAAACAGGAUUAGAUACCCUGGUAGUCCACGCCGUAAACGAUGAGUGCUAAGUGUUAGGGGGUUUCCGCCCCUUAGUGCUGCAGCUAACGCAUUAAGCACUCCGCCUGGGGAGUACGACCGCAAGGUUGAAACUCAAAGGAAUUGACGGGGACCCGCACAAGCGGUGGAGCAUGUGGUUUAAUUCGAAGCAACGCGAAGAACCUUACCAAAUCUUGACAUCCUUUGAUCGCUCUAGAGAUAGAGUUUUCCCCUUCGGGGGACAAAGUGACAGGUGGUGCAUGGUUGUCGUCAGCUCGUGUCGUGAGAUGUUGGGUUAAGUCCCGCAACGAGCGCAACCCUUAAGCUUAGUUGCCAUCAUUAAGUUGGGCACUCUAGGUUGACUGCCGGUGACAAACCGGAGGAAGGUGGGGAUGACGUCAAAUCAUCAUGCCCCUUAUGAUUUGGGCUACACACGUGCUACAAUGGAUAAUACAAAGGGCAGCGAAACCGCGAGGUCAAGCAAAUCCCAUAAAAUUAUUCUCAGUUCGGAUUGUAGUCUGCAACUCGACUACAUGAAGCUGGAAUCGCUAGUAAUCGUAGAUCAGCAUGCUACGGUGAAUACGUUCCCGGGUCUUGUACACACCGCCCGUCACACCACGAGAGUUUGUAACACCCGAAGCCGGUGGAGUAACCUUUUAUUAGGAGCUAGCCGUCGAAG
rnacentral:rRNA from 1 species